AGCCUGAGGUCUUCCCUAUAGCUCCCCUACCACGCCUGAAGUCUGAGGCCCUCCCUAUAGCUCCCCUACCACGCCUGAAGUCUGAGGCCCUCCCUAUAGCUCUCCUACCAAGCCUGAGGUCUGAGGUCCACCCUAUAGCUCCCCUACCAAGCCUGAGGUCCUCCCUAUAGCUCCUCUACCAAGCCUGAGGUCUGAGGUCCUCCCUAUAGCUCCCCUACCAAGCCUGAGGUCCUCCCUAUAGCUCCCCUACCAAGCCUGAGGUCUGAGGUCCACCCUAUAGCUCCCCUACCAAGCCUGAGGUCCUCCCUAUAACUCCCCUACCAAGCCUGAGGUCUGAGGUCCUCCCUAUAGCUCUCCUACCAAGCCUGAGGUCUGAGGUCCUCCCUAUAGCUCCCCUAUCAAGCCUGAGGUCUGAGGUCCUCCCUAUAGCUCCUCUACCAAACCUGAGGUCUGAGGUCCUCCCUAUAGCUCCUCUACCAAGCCUGAGGUCUGAGGUCCACCCUAUAGCUCCCCUACCAAGCCUGAGGUCCUCCCUAUAGCUCCUCUACCAAGCCUGAGGUCUUCCCUGUAGCUCUCCUACCAAGCCUGAGGUCUGAGGACCUCCCUAUAGCUCACCUACCAAGCCUGAGGUCUGAGGUCCUCCCUAUAGCUCCCCUACCAAGCCUGAGGUCCUCCCUAUAGCUCCUCUACCAAGCCUGAGGUCUGAGGUCCACCCUAUAGCUCCCCUACCAAGCCUGAGGUCCUCCCUAUAGCUCCUCUACCAAGCCUGAGGUCCUCCCUAUAGCUCCUCUACCAAGCCUGAGGUCUGAGGUCCUCCCUAUAGCUCCCCUACCAAGCCUGAGGUCUGAGGUCCUCCCUAUAGCUCCUCUACCAAGCCUGAGGUCUGAGGUCCACCCUAUAGCUCCCCUACCAAGCCUGAGGUCCUCCCUAUAGCUCCUCUACCAAGCCUGAGGUCUGAGGUCCUCCCUAUAGCUCCCCUACCAAGACUGAGGUCCUCCCUAUAGCUCCCCUACCAAGCCUGAGGUCUGAGGUCCACCCUAUACCUCCCCUACCAAGCCUGAGGUCCUCCCUAUAGCUCCCCUACCAAGCCUGAGGUCUGAGGUCCUCCCUAUAGCUCUCCUACCAAGCCUGAGGUCUGAGGUCCUCCCUAUAGCUCCCCUAUCAAGCCUGAGGUCUGAGGUCCUCCCUAUAGCUCCUCUACCAAACCUGAGGUCUGAGGUCCUCCCUAUAGCUCCUCUACCAAGCCUGAGGUCUGAGGUCCACCCUAUAGCUCCCCUACCAAGCCUGAGGUCCUCCCUAUAGCUCCUCUACCAAGCCUGAGGUCUUCCCUGUAGCUCUCCUACCAAGCCUGAGGUCUGAGGACCUCCCUAUAGCUCACCUACCAAGCCUGAGGUCUGAGGUCCUCCCUAUAGCUCCCCUACCAAGCCUGAGGUCCUCCCUAUAGCUCCUCUACCAAGCCUGAGGUCUUCCCUGUAGCUCCCCUACCAACCCUGAGGUCUGAGGUCCUCCCUAUAGCUCCUCUACCAAGCCUGAGGUCUUCCCUGUAGCUCCCCUACCAAGCCUGAGGUCUGAGGUCCUCCCUAUAGCUCCUCUACGAAGCCUGAGGUCCUCCCUAUAGCUCCUCUACCAAGCCUGAGGUCUGAGGUCCUCCCUAUAACUCCCCUACCAAGCCUGAGGUCUGAGGUCCUCCCUACAGCUCCCCUACCAAGCCUGAGGUCCGCCCUAUAGCUCCUCUACCAAGCCUGAGGUCUGAGGUCCACCCUAUAGCUCCCCUACCAAGCCUGAGGUCUGAGGUCCUCCCUAUAGCUCCCCUACCAAGCCUGAGGUCUGAGGUCCUCCCUAUAGCUCCUCUACCAAGCCUGAGGUCCUCCCUAUAGCUCCUCUACCAAGCCUGAGGUCUGAGGUCCUCCCUAUAGCUCCCCUACCAAGCCUGAGGUCUGAGGUCCUCCCUAUAGCUCCUCUACCAAGCCUGAGGUCUGAGGUCCACCCUAUAGCUCCCCUACCAAGCCUGAGGUCCUCCCUAUAGCUCCUCUACCAAGCCUGAGGUCUGAGGUCCUCCCUAUAGCUCCCCUACCAAGCCUGAGGUCCUCCCUAUAGCUCCCCUACCAAGCCUGAGGUCUGAGGUCCACCCUAUAGCUCCCCUACCAAGCCUGAGGUCCUCCCUAUAGCUCCUCUACCAAGCCUGAGGUCCUCCCUAUAGCUCCUCUAUCAAGCCUGAGGUCUGAGGUCCUCCCUAUAGCUCCCCUACCAAGCCUGAGGUCUGAGGUCCUCCCUAUAGCUCCUCUACCAAGCCUGAGGUCCUCCCUAUAGCUCCUCUACCAAGCCUGAGGUCUGAGGUCCUCCCUAUAGCUCCCCUACCAAGCCUGAGGUCUGAGGUCCUCCCUAUAGCUCCUCUACCAAGCCUGAGGUCUGAGGUCCACCCUAUAGCUCCCCUACCAAGCCUGAGUUCCUCCCU